rnacentral:rRNA from 1 species
AGAGUUUGAUCCUGGCUCAGGAUGAACGCUGGCGGCGUGCCUAAUACAUGCAAGUCGAGCGAACGGACGAGAAGCUUGCUUCUCUGAUGUUAGCGGCGGACGGGUGAGUAACACGUGGAUAACCUACCUAUAAGACUGGGAUAACUUCGGGAAACCGGAGCUAAUACCGGAUGAUAUUUUGAACCGCAUGGUUCAAAAGUGAAAGACGGUCUUGCUGUCACUUAUAGAUGGAUCCGCGCUGCAUUAGCUAGUUGGUAAGGUAACGGCUUACCAAGGCAACGAUGCAUAGCCGACCUGAGAGGGUGAUCGGCCACACUGGAACUGAGACACGGUCCAGACUCCUACGGGAGGCAGCAGUAGGGAAUCUUCCGCAAUGGGCGAAAGCCUGACGGAGCAACGCCGCGUGAGUGAUGAAGGUCUUCGGAUCGUAAAACUCUGUUAUUAGGGAAGAACAUAUGUGUAAGUAACUGUGCACAUCUUGACGGUACCUAAUCAGAAAGCCACGGCUAACUACGUGCCAGCAGCCGCGGUAAUACGUAGGUGGCAAGCGUUAUCCGGAAUUAUUGGGCGUAAAGCGCGCGUAGGCGGUUUUUUAAGUCUGAUGUGAAAGCCCACGGCUCAACCGUGGAGGGUCAUUGGAAACUGGAAAACUUGAGUGCAGAAGAGGAAAGUGGAAUUCCAUGUGUAGCGGUGAAAUGCGCAGAGAUAUGGAGGAACACCAGUGGCGAAGGCGACUUUCUGGUCUGUAACUGACGCUGAUGUGCGAAAGCGUGGGGAUCAAACAGGAUUAGAUACCCUGGUAGUCCACGCCGUAAACGAUGAGUGCUAAGUGUUAGGGGGUUUCCGCCCCUUAGUGCUGCAGCUAACGCAUUAAGCACUCCGCCUGGGGAGUACGACCGCAAGGUUGAAACUCAAAGGAAUUGACGGGGACCCGCACAAG